ACCGCGUUUUUAUUUAAUCAUCAUGUUUGGAAACAAACAAAGAGAGAAAUAAAAACAAAGAAAAGCAUUGGCGGCAGCGUGAGCCGUGAAAACAGAACCAUGUGUACGAGGUGAGACAAUAUAGGCCUUAGGAGGUGAUCAAUACGUGAAGUUCUGAUAAGCCGCCGAGAACUCUGGACUCUGGCAACUGGUGUGACACUAUCCGAAGCUGUGUGGGAAAACGUCCGAUUGUCGGGAACGUAGACGGCGAACCCCCCGGAGGCGUGCGAGAAGCUUGAACGCGCUAGGAUAAAGUCUGAAAGCUAGGAUGAAACUAAAGUACCCCUCGACAUCGCAUGCAGAGACGUCAAAGCUCACUUCGUCGAUGUCGUGAAAAUGCAGCAAGUAUUUGGCGACGAACAGGAUCACUGUUCUACUUCGCCUGUACGAAAAAACCUUUAUCCCCUCGAUAGUGCUCCGGCGAAAGGUGUCAGCUGGGAAUGGCGGACGAACAGCGGAAAGUGGUACCCUUAGAGCGUGCAUCUUUCUUGUCUCAUUGAAAAAGGCAAGGCGCACGUGGCGGUGGCGAGAAGCGGAGUCCCUGCAGGCUCGGUUGAAGCAUUUUUCGCUGGACUAGGCACAGUGGCAGAAAGACUGGGCAACUCAUGUUUCCCUGACUGCACAACCUGGAUCAGCCCUGGAGCAUAUGCUUGUGUUCACUCUGGCUGAUGUGCUGCGGCGCCCCGUUGUGUAUAGCGUCAAGUAUCUCAAGAGCUUUCGUGGCGAGGCCUUGGCUAUGCCUGUUUUGAAGGCAAGCUACCACUUUCCCUCCUUAAUGAUUCCUUGUUGUGGUGUGCUUAAAGAAUAAUGCAGUGUUUGGUUUGUUCUGUGUGCAACAUCCUUUUUCAUCCUUUAGUGUGUGUUUCUGUGUGUGCUAAUCAUCCAAGAGAUUUAAACAUCUGUUGCAAUUCCUUC